rnacentral:rRNA from 1 species
UGGGGAAUCUUCCGCAAUGGACGAAAGUCUGACGGAGCAACGCCGCGUGAGUGAAGAAGGUUUUCGGAUCGUAAAACUCUGUCUUUUGGGGCGAACGUGAGUAUGGUGAACAAUCAUAGUCAGUGACGGUACCAAAGGAGGAAGCCACGGCUAACUACGUGCCAGCAGCCGCGGUAAUACGUAGGUGGCAAGCGUUGUCCGGAAUUAUUGGGCGUAAAGAGCGCGUAGGCGGGAUAGUCAGUCUGUUGUAAAAGUGCGGGGCUCAACCCCGUGAUGGCAAUGGAAACAGCUAUUCUUGAGUGCAGGAGAGGAAAGGUGGAAUUCCCAGUGUAGCGGUGAAAUGCGUAGAUAUUGGGAGGAACACCAGUGGCGAAGGCGACUUUCUGGACUGUGUCUGACGCUGAGGCGCGAAAGCCAGGGGGAGCGAACGGGAUUAGAUACCCCCGGUAGUCCUGGCCGUAAACGAUGGGUACUAGGUGUGGGGGGUAUCGACCCCCUUCCGUGCCGGAGUUAACGCAAUAAGUACCCCCGCCUGGGGAGUACGGU